rnacentral:rRNA from 1 species
AUUGAACGCUGGCGGCAUGCUUUACACAUGCAAGUCGAACGGCAGCACGGGCUUCGGCCUGGUGGCGAGUGGCGAACGGGUGAGUAAUAUAUCGGAACGUACCCAGAAGUGGGGGAUAACGUAGCGAAAGUUACGCUAAUACCGCAUACGAUCUAUGGAUGAAAGCAGGGGACCGCAAGGCCUUGUGCUCCUGGAGCGGCCGAUAUCUGAUUAGCUAGUUGGUGAGGUAAAGGCUCACCAAGGCGACGAUCAGUAGCUGGUCUGAGAGGACGACCAGCCACACUGGAACUGAGACACGGUCCAGACUCCUACGGGAGGCAGCAGUGGGGAAUUUUGGACAAUGGGCGCAAGCCUGAUCCAGCAAUGCCGCGUGAGUGAAGAAGGCCUUCGGGUUGUAAAGCUCUUUUGUCAGGGAAGAAACGGUAGAGGCUAAUAUCCUUUGCUAAUGACGGUACCUGAAGAAGAAGCACCGGCUAACUACGUG